rfam:Populus trichocarpa scaffold_405_contig_3, whole genome shotgun sequence.
UCUAGAACUUGAGAUAUGGGUUGAACACUGAACAGUGUCUGAGCUAUAGGGCAGAUUCGGACUUCUCCGUUGUUGCAACAAUUUGGACUUGAAAACAGCCUUUUUAAAAUCCUGGACUCCUCAUAAAAGUUUUAGCCAUGUGUCUUAGCUUUUCAUC